rnacentral:rRNA from 1 species
UGCCAGCAGCCGCGGUAAUACGUAGGGACCAAGCGUUGUUCGGAUUUACUGGGCGUAAAGGGCGCGUAGGCCGCGCGGUAAGUCACUUGUGAAAUCUCUGAGCUUAACUCAGAACGGCCAAGUGAUACUGCAGUGCUAGAGUGUGGAAGGGGCAAUCGGAAUUCUUGGUGUAGCGGUGAAAUGCGUAGAUAUCAAGAGGAACACCUGAGGUGAAGACGGGUUGCUGGGCCAACACUGACGCUGAGGCGCGAAAGCCAGGGGAGCAAACGGGAUUAGAUACCCCGGUAGUCCUGGCCCUAAACGAUGAAUACUUGGUGUCUGGAGUUUUAAUGCUCCGGGUGCCGUCGCUAACGUUUUUAGUAUUCCGCCUGGGGAGUACGCUCGCAAGAGUGAAACUCAAAGAAUGAC